GUCCCCAUAGUUCAACUGGAUAGAAUAGGGGUUUCCUAAACCCUUGAUGUGGGUUCGAUUCCCGCUGGGGAUGCCA
rnacentral:tRNA from 1 species